rnacentral:rRNA from 1 species
UACAUGGGGUGCAAACGUUGCUCGGAAUUAUUGGGCGUAAAGCGCACGUAGGUGGUCUGUUAUGUCGGAUGUGAAAGCCCUCGGCUUAACUGAGGAAGUGCAUCCGAAACUGGCAGGCUUGAGUACGAAAGAGGGUCGCGGAAUUCCCGGUGUAGAGGUGAAAUUCGUAGAUAUCGGGAGGAACACCGGUGGCGAAGGCGGCAUCCUGGACCGGCAUUGACGCUGAGGAGCGAAAGCCAGGGGAGCAAACGGGG